rnacentral:rRNA from 1 species
GAUAAACGCUAGCGGCAGGCUUAACACAUGCAAGUCGAGGGGCAGCAUAGAUUGUAGCAAUACAAUUGGUGGCGACCGGCGCACGGGUGCGUAACGCGUAUGCAACCUACCCGUCACAGGGGGAUAAUCCGGAGAAAUCUGGUCUAAUACCCCAUAACAUAUGGAUCGGCAUCGGUUCAUGUUGAAAUUUUCGGAGGUGACGGAUGGGCAUGCGUAGCAUUAGCUUGUUGGUGAGGUAACGGCUCACCAAGGCGACGAUGCUUAGGGGGACUGAGAGGUUGUCCCCCCACACUGGUACUGGGACACGGACCAGACGCCAUCGGGAGGCAGCAGUGAGGAAUAUUGGUCAAUGGGCGCAAGCCUGAACCAGCCAUGCCGCGUGCAGGAUGACGGCUCUAUGAGUUGUAAACUGCUUUUGUACGAGGGUAAAGUGGGUUACGUGUAACCUUUUGGAAGUAUCGUACGAAUAAGGAUCGGCUAACUCCGUGCCAGCCGCCGCCGUAA